rnacentral:lncRNA from 1 species
AAGGGUGUCUUUAACGUGCAAGAGAUAUGGCUCUCUCUUAACACGGGUCAGCCAUUUAUCGUCCCCUUCCGACGGACUAUCAUCGUUUCCUCAAGACCAUACUCGCAAAUGGUGUUAAGGGAGAGCCGAAAAUUGAGUUCCUGAAAUUUUCAUCCCAAACGGGAAUCGAACCAGGAACCUUUGUAUUAGUAGUCCGAUGCACUAACCACUACACCAC